UUCAAUUUUAAUUUCGAUGUCUCUGUAGGCAACAAUAUAUUUUAGAAGUUGUAUUGGACUGGAAGAGAGGGAAGGGGAGUGUUUGAACUUUCAAUUUCAUUAAUUUUUGCUGAAUUUCUGUGCCUGUGGGUGAAUACUGGAUUGUGAAGGAUGGUUAGGAUUGUGAAUACAGAAGUUUGGACCUCUUCAUAUAUGGGAACAAUGCUGAUCGAUUCCUGCAUUGGAGCACUAGGUUCCAAAUUGUUCUAGGCGUGGAAAGGGGAUUGCAGUACCUUCAUGAGGAUUCACAUCUAAGAAUUGUUCACCGAGACAUCAAAGCAAGCAACAUUCUUCUUGAUCAUAAGUUUCAUCCCAAGAUUGGAGACUUUGGCCUUGCCAGGUUCUUCCCUGAAGACCAAGCUUAUCUUAGCACACAAUUCGCUGGAACAUUCGCCAAAAGGGCUGUUUUCGCCGGAGCCAGAACAUUAUCAAGGACCAAAGCUAAAAGUUGCCAUCAUUGGAGCUGGGCUUUCUGGCAUGUCAACUACAGUGAAACUCUUGGAUCAAG